AUUUUUAUGUGGACACAUGUAUAUGGUGAAAUAUUCUGUGUCUGAAAAGAAUUGUGCAAGUAAGGGCACAAUCCUAGCAGGAUCCGUAUGGAGAGUAAUGGCUCUCUGCUCUGAGUUGGAGAGCCACGAAAACAAAAAGCAACCUUAAGCUUUAACACUUUAUCCAUCCUUUUUCAAAAUAGAUCCUGGGUGGCAAUCUGUGUAAACUCACGGAUUCAUUAUUUGAGAAAGCAGUUGCAUAGAAAGUCUGAUGUCAAGAUGAUGUCAGCCAACAAACCAAAACUAUUGAGCUGGCUGAAGUGUUCAUCAAGGGCCUCGAGGUUCCUGUUCCUGUGAUGGAGGGCCUGGACCCAAUUGCCACAUUGACGGAUGAUGCUACGACUACAGGAUGAAGUAACGAGGGACUGCCUGCUGAUCGGAUGUCAGCAGAAAAUGCCACAAUUAAAACACACUGCAAGUGCUGUUUUUUUAUGAUAGAUCACCAGCAAGAGGGAAUUAAAUAGAUAAAGACUAAAUACAGAGCUGACCUUAAAGUCAUACAUGUAGGACAGAAAGGUUUUCUGAAGACCUUUGUCUUGUGGAGAGAUUAUACUCAUCAAAACCACGGUGAUUAUUGCCUGAUCUCCUGAUUGGAAGGCAUACCAAAGGGAAGUGUCUGAGGACAGAGCCUGUCCCAUACUCUCCCUCCUGCUGGCAGCAACACAGCUCUGUGAGCUCCAGCCCAGAGGUCUGGAGGUGGGUGUUCAAGUGGAAGAUACGUGUUCAAACCAGGUAACACACAACUGAGUUUAUUG